rnacentral:rRNA from 1 species
GACGAACGCUGGCGGCGUGCUUAACACAUGCAAGUCGAACGGUAAGGCUCCAGCUUGCUGGGGUACACGAGUGGCGAACGGGUGAGUAACACGUGGGUGACCUGCCCUGCACUUCGGGAUAAGCCUGGGAAACUGGGUCUAAUACCGGAUAGGACCGCACCGUGAGGGUGUGGUGGAAAGUUUUUUCGGUGUGGGAUGGGCCCGCGGCCUAUCAGCUUGUUGGUGGGGUAAUGGCCUACCAAGGCGGCGACGGGUAGCCGGCCUGAGAGGGUGGACGGCCACAUUGGGACUGAGACACGGCCCAGACUCCUACGGGAGGCAGCAGUGGGGAAUAUUGUACAAUGGGCGGAAGCCUGAUGCAGCGACGCCGCGUGGGGGAUGACGGCCUUCGGGUUGUAAACUCCUUUCACCAUCGACGAAGGGUUUCUGACGGUAGAUGGAGAAGAAGCACCGGCUAACUACGUGCCAGCAGCCGCGGUAAUACGUAGGGUGCGAGCGUUGUCCGGAAUUACUGGGCGUAAAGAGCUCGUAGGUGGUUUGUCGCGUCGUCUGUGAAAUUCCGGGGCUUAACUCCGGGCGUGCAGGCGAUACGGGCAUAACUUGAGUACUGUAGGGGAGACUGGAAUUCCUGGUGUAGCGGUGAAAUGCGCAGAUAUCAGGAGGAACACCGGUGGCGAAGGCGGGUCUCUGGGCAGUAACUGACGCUGAGGAGCGAAAGCAUGGGGAGCGAACAGGAUUAGAUACCCUGGUAGUCCAUGCCGUAAACGGUGGGCGCUAGGUGUGGGUUUCCUUCCACGGGAUCCGUGCCGUAGCUAACGCAUUAAGCGCCCCGCCUGGGGAGUACGGCCGCAAGGCUAAAACUCAAAGGAAUUGACGGGGGCCCGCACAAGCGGCGGAGCAUGUGGAUUAAUUCGAUGCAACGCGAAGAACCUUACCUGGGCUUGACAUAUACAGGAUCGCGCCAGAGAUGGUGUUUCCCUUGUGGCUUGUAUACAGGUGGUGCAUGGUUGUCGUCAGCUCGUGUCGUGAGAUGUUGGGUUAAGUCCCGCAACGAGCGCAACCCUUGUCUUAUGUUGCCAGCACGUUGUGGUGGGGACUCGUAAGAAACUGCCGGGGUUAACUCGGAGGAAGGUGGGGAUGACGUCAAAUCAUCAUGCCCCUUAUGUCCAGGGCUUCACACAUGCUACAAUGGUCGGUACAGUGGGUUGCCAGUCCGUGAGGGCGAGCUAAUCCCGCAAAGCCGGUCUCAGUUCGGAUCGGGGUCUGCAACUCGACCCCGUGAAGUCGGAGUCGCUAGUAAUCGCAGACCAGCAACGCUGCGGUGAAUACGUUCCCGGGCCU